AGGAUUGAGGAGUUGGAAGAGACCUUUAGAACAGCUGGUCAUUAUGCCGACCAGGUGCCUGCACUAAGUUCGGCAUCAAUAUGGCGACCUCCUGGGAGCGGGGGGCCACCAAGUUGCCUAAGGAUGGCUGAACUGGCCCAGGUCAGAAACGGAGCAGGUCAGAACUCCUGCACCGACCAGUAGUGGGACUGUGCCUGGGCGGUAUAGCAAGAUCUUGGUUCUU
rnacentral:sRNA from 10 species